CUUCCAUAGCGAUGACACCUGCUCACUGCGUGUUCACCGUCAUGGACCAUGCGUGGUCCCUGAUCAUGUGCUGCUUUCAUAGAUAAAAGGGGAUGCUGGGGUGAAGGAUUUAUUCCACUGCCUUCCUCUGGAGCCUCUGAAGCCUAGUCGGAGAGAGGAAACUGCCGAGACUCCCCGAUGGAGAAGUCUAGACUUCAGCCUGUGACGCUGGCUUCCCGGGGAGCCCGAGGUCUUGCUGCGACAUCGAAUGAAUAGAUAUCGGUUGCUACUUUUAGCAGAUGUUUGCAAGAAAGAAAACCUUUUGAAAGAGGGACUUACCCAGGGAUUCUUUUGACUAAUGGAGGCAUAGGUUCAACUCCAAGUGAUUGACAAGAUGGUGGGUAUGGAGACACUUGACAAGGAGGGAGCUGCUUGUCCUAAGUUCUUGGCUUCCAAAUCAAGGAUUGAUGUCAUCAGCGAAAUGAACUGCUUCAAAAGGAUGAGUCUCUGAUAUCAGAAAUGACAAGCUGUAUCCCCCAGAAUCCUCUUGUUUCUGUUUUUGUUUAUUGCCCAAGGAGCUGUCCAUGUAUGAUAAAGAGCUUCUGAGAGAUGCCAGCUAGGGACAAUCAAGUUCCUUAGAUUGAAUCUUCUCAAUGUUCUUGAGUCUAUUGGACCCCUUCCUUAAUGUCAGCACUGCCUUAUCAAAUCCCCAUCAUAUCUCAUCUGGAUUGUGUUUUACUUCUCCUGAUUCUCUCUGGCUUCCUUUCUCUGUACUGCUGCCUGAUGAGCUGCCUGAAAUUCCAAUCUGGUGUUACUCGCCUGAUGCUAGAUAGAUUUUGUUUGUCUCUAUAGAGCCAUCCUUCUUCACCCUGCCUUCUUCCUCCAAAGUUUCUUUGUCUUCUGGCUUCCGGUAGGGUUUGGCCAAUGGGGGUACUGGUAAGAUGAGGUGGGAAGGGUGGGAGCAGUGAGAAGGGUCCCUUCUCUCCCUAAGUCCUUCCCAGGGCUCACUGCUCCCAACAGGUGGAUUCUCACAUGGCUCUCUUCCAAGUCCCCUCAACCAUCAAGGCCUAAGAACAGCAAUCAGGAUUCCUUGCGGUUCCCCUACACCUUAUCCACACCUUUGAACAAAAUCCUGCUGGAAACUCCUCUCAAAUGACUGAUUUCAAUGUUUCUUGCCUGGACCAAGACCAAUACAGCCAUGCUGUAGGCAUGUCACUGACUCUACCUUGCCCUGAAGACAAAGCAACAUUCCACAGUAGGGGAACAGGACUCCAGCCUUGCUCCUUCCUGACACACAUGUGGCGCUCCCACACGCUGGUGGACUUAUGGUUCCCUGAACAUGCGGUAUUCUUUUUCUUCUUGGAGAUUUUUGGAAGUGAUGAUUUCAUUCCUGACUUACCUGCCUGCAGAGUGUCUUUUUCAUCCUUACAAACCGCUCAGGUGUCACCUGUUGAUUUGUUUUCUGACUUUCCUUGGCGGGAUGUGCUGCUUCCUCCUCUGCGCUCGCGAGUCAGAUCAUACACGUGCCCAUGAAAGCACUUAUCAUUGCUGCAAAUAGUCACUCCUGUGUCUCUUUCCAACCAGCCCUGGAAAAUCCCCUGGCUGUAUUCUGUCUUUCUUUGUUCUCCAAGUAACUGCCGGCUUAAUAAACAUUUUUCGA